AAGGUUCCGUAGUGAACCUGCGGAAGGAUCAUUG
rnacentral:rRNA from 1 species